rnacentral:rRNA from 1 species
UAGGGAAUAUUGCGCAAUGGGGGAAACCCUGACGCAGCAACGCCGCGUGAGUGAGGAAGGUCUUCGGAUUGUAAAACUCUUUUAUCUGAGAAAAAUGUGUAUGGAGCUAAUACCCCAUGCAGUGAUGGUAUCAGAUGAAUAAGCACCGGCUAACUUCGUGCCAGCAGCCGCGGUAAUACGAAGGGUGCAAGCGUUAUUCGGAAUCAUUGGGCGUAAAGCGCGCGCAGGCGGAUUUGUAAGUCAGGUGUGAAAUCUCGGGGCUCAACCCCGAAACUGCGCCUGAAACUACAAGUCUAGAAUGUCGGAGGGGGCAGGGGAAUUUCACGUGUAGGGGUAAAAUCCGUAGAGAUGUGAAGGAACACCGGAGGCGAAGGCGCCUGCCUGGACGACUAUUGACGCUGAGGCGCGAAAGCGUGGGGAGCAAACA